GGUAAAGUGGCUGAAAAUUAGGCAAUAAACUGUAAAUUUAUUUAUGAAAAGUUAUUUUCUUUUAUC
rnacentral:tRNA from 1 species